rnacentral:rRNA from 1 species
ACGCACGCUGGCGGCGUGCUUAACACAUGCAAGUCGAACGGAAAGGCCCCUUUGGGGGUACUCGAGUGGCGAACGGGUGAGUAACACGUGAGUAACCUGCCCUUGACUUCGGGAUAACUUCAGGAAACUGGGGCUAAUACCGGAUAGGAAUCCUUGCUGCAUGGUGGGGGUUGGAAAGCUUCGGCGGUUUUGGAUGGACUCGCGGCUUAUCAGCUUGUUGGUGGGGUAGUGGCUUACCAAGGCUUUGACGGGUAGCCGGCCUGAGAGGGCGACCGGCCACAUUGGGACUGAGAUACGGCCCAGACUCCUACGGGAGGCAGCAGUGGGGAAUAUUGCACAAUGGGCGGAAGCCUGAUGCAGCAACGCCGCGUGCGGGAUGACGGCCUUCGGGUUGUAAACCGCUUUCAGCAGGGGCGAAGCUUGUGGUGACGGUACCUGCAGAAGAAGCACCGGCUAACUACGU